GGCCCAGGGCCCUGGUCCUGGUCCGGCUCUCCUGGGUCCUCCGCGGAGGCUCCGGCAACGUCGACGCGGCUGCAGAUGCUGACGCCACCUUCCUGGGACCUGCAGGACCGGUUUGAGGACGAGAGAGUGUGCUCCCACGGUAUUUUUAUCCUCUGCUGCCUCAGACUGAUGAAAACGGCCCUAGAAUACUGCAGCAGCCACCACACCAAGAAGAGCUUCCCCGGCACACCUGCCCCAGGAUCCCUGGGUGGCUCAGCGGUUUGGCGCCUGCCUUGGGCCCAUGGCCUGAUCUUGGAGUCCCGGGAUCAAGUCCUGCAUCAGGGUCCCGGUAUGGAGCCUGCUUCUCCCUCUGCUUGUGUCUCUGCCUCCCUCUCUCUCUCUC